GAUUAAGUUAUUAAGGGCGCACGGUGGAUGCCUUGGCACUAGAAGCCGAUGAAGGACGUUACUAACGACGAUAUGCUUUGGGGAGCUGUAAGUAAGCUUUGAUCCAGAGAUUUCCGAAUGGGGAAACCCAGCAUGAGUUAUGUCAUGUUAUCGAUAUGUGAAUACAUAGCAUAUCAGAAGGCACACCCGGAGAACUGAAACAUCUUAGUACCCGGAGGAAGAGAAAGAAAAUUCGAUUCCCUUAGUAGCGGCGAGCGAAACGGGAAGAGCCCAAACCAAAAAGCUUGCUUGUUGGGGUUGUAGGACACUCUAUACGGAGUUACAAAGGACGACAUUAGACGAAUCAUCUGGAAAGAUGAAUCAAAGAAGGUAAUAAUCCUGUAGUCGAAAAUGUUGUCUCUCUUGAGUGGAUCCUGAGUACGACGGAGCACGUGAAAUUCCGUCGGAAUCUGGGAGGACCAUCUCCUAAGGCUAAAUACUCUCUAGUGACCGAUAGUGAACCAGUACCGUGAGGGAAAGGUGAAAAGCACCCCGGAAGGAGAGUGAAAUAGAACCUGAAACCGUGUGCUUACAAGUAGUCAGAGCCCGUUAAUGGGUGAUGGCGUGCCUUUUGUAGAAUGAACCGGCGAGUUACGAUUUGAUGCAAGGUUAAGCAGUAAAUGUGGAGCCGUAGCGAAAGCGAGUCUGAAUAGGGCGUUUAGUAUUUGGUCGUAGACCCGAAACCAGGUGAUCUACCCUUGGUCAGGUUGAAGUUCAGGUAACACUGAAUGGAGGACCGAACCGACUUACGUUGAAAAGUGAGCGGAUGAACUGAGGGUAGCGGAGAAAUUCCAAUCGAACCUGGAGAUAGCUGGUUCUCUCCGAAAUAGCUUUAGGGCUAGCCUCAAGUGAUGAUUAUUGGAGGUAGAGCACUGUUUGGACGAGGGCCCCUCUCGGGUUACCGAAUUCAGACAAACUCCGAAUGCCAAUUAAUUUAACUUGGGAGUCAGAACAUGGGUGAUAAGGUCCGUGUUCGAAAGGGAAACAGCCCAGACCACCAGCUAAGGUCCCAAAAUAUAUGUUAAGUGGAAAAGGAUGUGGCGUUGCCCAGACAACUAGGAUGUUGGCUUAGAAGCAGCCAUCAUUUAAAGAGUGCGUAAUAGCUCACUAGUCGAGUGACACUGCGCCGAAAAUGUACCGGGGCUAAACAUAUUACCGAAGCUGUGGAUUGUCCUUUGGACAAUGGUAGGAGAGCGUUCUAAGGGCGUUGAAGCAUGAUCGUAAGGACAUGUGGAGCGCUUAGAAGUGAGAAUGCCGGUGUGAGUAGCGAAAGACGGGUGAGAAUCCCGUCCACCGAUUGACUAAGGUUUCCAGAGGAAGGCUCGUCCGCUCUGGGUUAGUCGGGUCCUAAGCUGAGGCCGACAGGCGUAGGCGAUGGAUAACAGGUUGAUAUUCCUGUACCACCUAUAAUCGUUUUAAUCGAUGGGGGACGCAGUAGGAUAGGCGAAGCGUGCGAUUGGAUUGCACGUCUAAGCAGUAAGGCUGAGUAUUAGGCAAAUCCGGUACUCGUUAAGGCUGAGCUGUGAUGGGGAGAAGACAUUGAGUCUUCGAGUCGUUGAUUUCACACUGCCGAGAAAAGCCUCUAGAUAGAAAAUAGGUGCCCGUACCGCAAACCGACACAGGUAGUCAAGAUGAGAAUUCUAAGGUGAGCGAGCGAACUCUCGUUAAGGAACUCGGCAAAAUGACCCCGUAACUUCGGGAGAAGGGGUGCUCUUUAGGGUUAACGCCCAGAAGAGCCGCAGUGAAUAGGCCCAAGCGACUGUUUAUCAAAAACACAGGUCUCUGCUAAACCGUAAGGUGAUGUAUAGGGGCUGACGCCUGCCCGGUGCUGGAAGGUUAAGAGGAGUGGUUAGCUUCUGCGAAGCUACGAAUCGAAGCCCCAGUAAACGGCGGCCGUAACUAUAACGGUCCUAAGGUAGCGAAAUUCCUUGUCGGGUAAGUUCCGACCCGCACGAAAGGCGUAACGAUUUGGGCACUGUCUCAACGAGAGACUCGGUGAAAUCAUAGUACCUGUGAAGAUGCAGGUUACCCGCGACAGGACGGAAAGACCCCGUGGAGCUUUACUGUAGCCUGAUAUUGAAAUUCGGCACAGCUUGUACAGGAUAGGUAGGAGCCUUUGAAACGUGAGCGCUAGCUUACGUGGAGGCGCUGGUGGGAUACUACCCUAGCUGUGUUGGCUUUCUAACCCGCACCACUUAUCGUGGUGGGAGACAGUGUCAGGCGGGCAGUUUGACUGGGGCGGUCGCCUCCUAAAAGGUAACGGAGGCGCUCAAAGGUUCCCUCAGAAUGGUUGGAAAUCAUUCAUGAGUGUAAAGGCAUAAGGGAGCUUGACUGCGAGACCUACAAGUCGAGCAGGGUCGAAAGACGGACUUAGUGAUCCGGUGGUUCCGCAUGGAAGGGCCAUCGCUCAACGGAUAAAAGCUACCCCGGGGAUAACAGGCUUAUCUCCCCAAGAGUUCACAUCGACGGGGAGGUUUGGCACCUCGAUGUCGGCUCAUCGCAUCCUGGGGCUGUAGUCGGUCCCAAGGGUUGGGCUGUUCGCCCAUUAAAGCGGUACGCGAGCUGGGUUCAGAACGUCGUGAGACAGUUCGGUCCCUAUCCGUCGUGGGCGUAGGAAAUUUGAGAGGAGCUGUCCUUAGUACGAGAGGACCGGGAUGGACAUACCUCUGGUGUACCAGUUGUCGUGCCAACGGCAUAGCUGGGUAGCUAUGUGUGGACGGGAUAAGUGCUGAAAGCAUCUAAGCAUGAAGCCCCCCUCAAGAUGAGAUUUCCCAACUUCGGUUAUAAGAUCCCUCAAAGAUGAUGAGGUUAAUAGGUUCGAGGUGGAAGCAUGGUGACAUGUGGAGCUGACGAAUACUAAUCGAUCGAAGACUUAAUCAA
rnacentral:rRNA from 1 species